rnacentral:tmRNA from 1 species
ACCCUUUCAAUUAACCAUUGAUCAGACUAUAUUAAAUAUGUCGGAUUUCCGACUAUGGUGAUAAACACUUUGCAAAAUAAGCGUAACGGACCCGGGGGCAGUGCCCGGCGCCUCCACCAAAAAUUUUAGGUAAUCCGAGCUAUUAAACCAGGAUAUCCUAGAAUUAAUAGACUAUUAUGGGGGCGAAACAGGAUCGACGUGCGUAGUAAAAUCAAAGUUUUUGCUCGGCAUUGUACCACCGUUAUCGGGCUAAUUUUACAAAUGCAAACGAUAAUGAAGCAUUUGCGGUAGCCGCUUAACAGCUAGUCUACCACGGGGUCCGAAGGGCACCUAGCAACAGAAGCCCUUCACU